AGGACGAACGCUGGCGGCGUGCUUAACACAUGCAAGUCGAGCGGUAAGGCCUUUCGGGGUACACGAGCGGCGAACGGGUGAGUAACACGUGGGUGAUCUGCCCUGCACUUCGGGAUAAGCCUGGGAAACUGGGUCUAAUACCGGAUAUGACCUCCUAUCGCAUGGUGGGUGGUGGAAAGAUUUAUCGGUGCAGGAUGGGCCCGCGGCCUAUCAGCUUGGUUGGUGGGUAAUGGACCUACCAAGGCGACGACGGGUAGCCGACCUGAGAGGGUGACCGGCCACGACGUCGGGACUGAGACGACGGCCCAGAC
rnacentral:rRNA from 1 species